AUAGGAGGUCCAGCCUGCCCAGUGACUACGGGUUCAACGGCCGCGGUAUUUUGACCGUGCAAAGGUAGCGCAAUCACUUGUCUCUUAAAUAGAGACCUGUAUGAAUGGCUAGACGAGGGCUUAACUGUCUCCCCCCUCCAGUCAGUGAAAUUGAUCUAUCCGUGCAGAAGCGGGUAUGACUAUACAAGACGAGAAGACCCUUUGGAGCUUAAGGUACAAAAUUCAACCACGUUAAACGACUCCAUAGAAAGCAAGAACUUAGUGGCGAAUGAAAUUUUACCUUCGGUUGGGGCGACCACGGAGGAGAAAGAAGCCUCCGAGUGGACUGGGCUAAGCCCUAAAGCCAAGAGAUACAUCUACAAGCCGCAGAACAUCUGACCAAUAAUGAUCCGACUGAAAAGCCGAUCAACGAACCAAGUUACCCUAGGGAUAACAGCGCAAUCCUCUCCCAGAGUCCAUAUCGACGAGGGGGUUUACGACCUCGAUGUUGGAUCAGGACAUCCUAAUGGUGCAGCCGCUAUUAAGGGUUCGUUUGUUCAACGAUUAAAGUCC
rnacentral:rRNA from 1 species